GAGCUCCCAUUGUUGGCUUCUCUUGCUCCUCUUCUUCCUGAUGCAAUUGCAUUGAAGGUUGACAAAAUCAAAUCGCGAAUCUCCGUUCCUAUCAAAUCUAUUUCAUGUUGAUAAUGGCCUUGAACAAAUCGCUACACU